AUUGAACGCUGGCGGAAUGCUUUACACAUGCCAGUCGAGCGGCAGCACGGCCUUCGGGCUGGCGGCGAGCGGCGAACGGGUGAGUAAUGCAUCGGAACAUGCCCAGUCGUGGGGGAUAACACUUCGAAAGAAGUGCUAAUACCGCAUACGUCCUGAGGGGGAAAGCGGGGGAUCGCAAGACCUCGCGCGAUUGGAGUGGCCGAUGUCAGAUUAGCUAGUUGGUGGGGUAAAGGCCUACCAAGGCGACGAUCUGUAGCUGGUCUGAGAGGAUGAUCAGCCACACUGGGACUGAGACACGGCCCAGACUCCUACGGGAGGCAGCAGUGGGGAAUUUUGGACAAUGGGGGCAACCCUGAUCCAGCCAUUCCGCGUGAGUGAAGAAGGCCUUCGGGUUGUAAAGCUCUUUCGGCAGGAACGAAACGGUGGGCUCUAACAUAGUCCGCUAAUGACGGUACCUGAAGAAGAAGCACCGGCUAACUACGUG
rnacentral:rRNA from 1 species